AAGACGGCCAACAUCCGGAUGAAGGCGGAGCUGGGAGGGAACCAAACUCCUGCGAUGAUGCGAUGGGACGGACCGAGGUCGGCGGAGAUCCGCGAUUGCUGACCGUGGAGGCGAGGAGCUCCCCUGGCUCCUGGGCCCCUCGUGGCUGUGGGCAGCCAUGAGGAAGCAGCGUGGUCUAGUACAGAGCCCUGGGC